AUGCAGCCGUACCAAGCUGUUCAGGCCAUAAAAUACAUCCUGCUGAAGCACUCUGACCUUGUUGUAACUCAUUUUUAAGACCUGUUCAUGAAAAAGUAACAAAUGCAUAAUAUUAAGCCAUGUUAAAGUUAUAGAACCCCUAAUAAAUGCUGCUGCAGGUUGCUCUGUGCAGUGAAAGUUCUUCACCAGACCAGGAAUGCCAGGUAACUGGAGUUUCUUUAAAGAACUGGAAUGUUUAUGUGCAGGGUGCUAAGCUUCUGCACACUGUGGUCUUUUUUUCAUGAAGGCCAGAAAGGGACAGGACUGUACUGAAGGGAAAGGGAAAUCUCUAUGGAAAAAAAAGAAUCCUCAAAAAGCCCCAAACUGACGGACAAAUUAACAAUGACAGGCUCCUUUUUCAGACACAGUAUUUGGAGCUUUGCAAUCUUUCUCCUCUGUAGGAAGAGAGUUUUGACUGCAGUUGCCUGCUAAGGUAGAGCUGAGAGAAAUCUACCAAAGGGUUUGUCAUGCUCUGCACCCUGUAUCUGAGUGCCUGCCUGGGAAGGAAAGACAUUUCCCACCAGGAUACUGGAUUUUGAAGGCUGUUGACUUUCACAUGAAUAAGGCCAGCAAAGUCCGUGGGGCUGAGUUUCCUCAGGCUGUUGUAGCUGUACAGGAUGGGUUCAGUCAGCCCCAACUCACAGCUUUUACAUCCAACCAACCCAAAACAAAAGAACCACUCUUUGGGAACGGCUAAAGAUCACUUUCUGAGCCCUGGACUAUCCUUCCCAGAGAGAAAUCUAUUUCAGCCUUUUUCCAGGGUCCGUGCUACAGGCACAACUCAUUCAGGUAAU